UCUUGGGAUGGACCUGCGGUGCAUUAGCUAGUUGGUAGGGGUAACGGCCUACCAAGGCGAUGAUGCAUAGCCGAGUUGAGAGACUGAUCGGCCACAUUGGGACUGAGACACGGCCCAAACUCCUACGGGAGGCAGCAGUAGGGAAUCUUCCACAAUGGGCGCAAGUCUGAUGGAGCAACGCCGCGUGAGUGAAGAAGGGUUUCGGCUCGUAAAGCUCUGUUGUUGGUGAAGAAGGACAGGGGUAGUAACUAACCUUUGUUUGACGGUAAUCAAUUAGAAAGUCACGGCUAACUACGUGCCACAGCCGCGGUAAU
rnacentral:rRNA from 1 species